GAUGAACGCUGGCGGCGUGCCUAACACAUGCAAGUCGAACGAAGCUGUUUGAUAGAAGCCUUCGGGUGGAAGUCAAAUAGACUGAGUGGCGGACGGGUGAGUAACGCGUGGGUAACCUGCCCUACACAGGGGGACAACAACUGGAAACGGUUGCUAAUACCGCAUAAGCGCACAGUACCGCAUGGUACAGUGUGAAAAACUCCGGUGGUGUAGGAUGGACCCGCGUCCGAUUAGCUAGUUGGUAGUGUAAUGGACUACCAAGGCGACGAUCGGUAGCCGGCCUGAGAGGGCGGACGGCCACAUUGGGACUGAGACACGGCCCAGACUCCUGCGGGAGGCAGCAGUGGGGGAUAUUGCACAAUGGGGGAAACCCUGAUGCAGCGACGCCGCGUGAGUGAAGAAGUAUUUCGGUAUGUAAAGCUCUAUCAGCAGGGAAGAAAAUGACGGUACCUGACUAAGAAGCCCCGGCUAACUACGUGCCAGCAGCCGCAGUAAGAC
rnacentral:rRNA from 1 species